rnacentral:rRNA from 1 species
CUGGUACGUACUGGUAUCGUUGAUUUCUACCUUCUGACGAACUAUGAUGUCAUUAAUUUGGUGUCAUGGGGAAUCAGGACUGUUACUUUGAAAAAAUUAGAGUGUUUAAAGCAGGCACACGCUUGAAUACAUUAGCAUGGAAUAAUGAAAUAGGACGUUUGACCCUAUUUUGUUGGUUUCUAGGAUCGACGUAAUGAUUAAUAGGGAUAGUUGGGGGCAUUAGUAUUCAAUUGUCAGAGGUGAAAUUCUUGGAUUUAUUGAAGACUAACUACUGCGAAAGCAUUUGCCAAGGAUGUUUUCAUUAAUCAAGAACGAAAGUUAGGGGAUCGAAGACGAUCAGAUACCGUCGUAGUCUUAACCAUAAACUAUGCCGACUAGGGAUCGGAUGAUGUUAAUUUUUUAAUGACUCAUUCGGCGCCUUACG